rnacentral:rRNA from 1 species
GUCGUAACAAGGUUUCCGUAGGUGAACCUGCGGAAGGAUCAUUAGUGAAUUUUAGGGUGCUUCUUGCUUUAACACGCAAGAAGGCCUGACCUCCACUCUCCAACACUGUGCACUUAUCGGCGAAAAGUAAGGGAAGCGGCUGUCACGGCUUGUGGAACUUCUUUUCGUGGCUUUACUUUAAAACACGAGUAAAAGAAUGUAAAAAAACCAUAACAAAAAAAAACUUUCAACAACGGAUCUCUUGGCUCUCGCAUCGAUGAAGAACGCAGCGAAAUGUGAUAAGUAAUGUGAAUUGCAGAAUUCAGUGAAUCAUCGAAUCUUUGAACGCACCUUGCGCUCUCUGGUAUUCCGGAGAGCAUGCCUGUUUGAGUGUCAUGAACUCUUCAACCCACCGGUUCCUUGUUGAACUGCUGUGGUGUUUGGAUUUUGAACGCUGCUAUGUAAUUAGCUCGCUCGUAAUACAUUAGCAUCUCAAUUUCGUAAUCGGAUUGACUCAGCGUAAUAGACUAUUCGCUGAGGACACUUUUUCAGAGUGGCCGAGACAUGAAAAGUUAGAAGCUUCAAACCCAUCUAGUCAUUCUUAAGAUAGACCUCAGUCAGC